AUUGAACGCUGGCGGCAGGCUUAACACAUGCAAGUCGAGCGGAGAUGAGGUGCUUGCACCUUAUCUUAGCGGCGGACGGGUGAGUAAUGCUUAGGAAUCUGCCUAUUAGUGGGGGACAACAUUCCGAAAGGAAUGCUAAUACCGCAUACGUCCUACGGGAGAAAGCAGGGGAUCUUCGGACCUUGCGCUAAUAGAUGAGCCUAAGUCGGAUUAGCUAGUUGGUGGGGUAAAGGCCUACCAAGGCGACGAUCUGUAGCGGGUCUGAGAGGAUGAUCCGCCACACUGGGACUGAGACACGGCCCAGACUCCUACGGGAGGCAGCAGUGGGGAAUAUUGGACAAUGGGGGGAACCCUGAUCCAGCCAUGCCGCGUGUGUGAAGAAGGCCUUAUGGUUGUAAAGCACUUUAAGCGAGGAGGAGGCUACUGAGACUAAUACUCUUGGAUAGUGGACGUUACUCGCAGAAUAAGCACCGGCUAACUCUGUGCCAGCCGCCGCCGUAACAC
rnacentral:rRNA from 1 species